CAGGAUCAGGGCUAUCCAGCAGAUUUCCUAUGUGGAGGCAGUGAAAAUAGCUGAAGGAGUGAAGAGAUAUGAGAUGGUAGUGGAUGUCCCACAGACUGCAGUGAAUGUCAUGCAGGAGAAGGAUCCCGAGACACUAAUGGAAGGUGGACUUUGAUGCGUAUAUAGCACAAGUGACAUUGCACUACUCAAACUAAUUUUAAAAAUCAACAAAGAAAUCUAAGAAGUUAGACAUCAUUGUGAAGGGGGGAAAUAUAUUUCUGGAUCUCCAGGACUUUACAGCAGAAAUGUUACAAGGAAUACUGAAUUAAGAGGUUCCUGAGCUGGGCUCUGAAUAGACAUUUAAAUCCGACUGAAAGAGUAGUUUUUGUUCAAAAUUAUGGGUUAGUUAUUAAUAAGAGAACAUCGUGGUAUAGCCUGGUAGUGACCGGCCUCACACUCCAGUACAGUAGCUGGCAGUAUAUGCAUCUGUUAGUUGGUUGCGAUCCGCCCAAAAAACACAAAGAAGAAAACAGGUGACGCAGUAGGCAGGGCUACCGCGAGAUUUUGGAUUCAAAGUAAAUCUAGUUCAGCUUUAGAUGAGAAAAACAUAUUGUAGUUAGCUACCCUGUCAAUAUAAACGUCAAUGAUGCACACACCGUUCCAGUUUAGAUAAUUGGUGCACUGGUCAAUAAUUACGAAAUCAGGAGAAAGAAAUCAAGUGCAUGCAACCAUGGUGGUGGUUUGUCGUGCAGCCUUGAUGUGCUAGCUAAGUAGCUAGCUAGCUUACGUCAUACCUUCUCGUAUUCUAACGUUACUUUUCUGUUUUCUAAGUACAUCACUAGUUGCACGUAUAAUCCAACACUUAUGCAUACAUUUCGCGCGUCCCAUAUAACAAGUUACUGGUAGUAGACACCACUAGUCUGAAUGUGGGACUAUUUCUAAAACAGUUCACGUUUACUGUAACUUACACUCGACGCUGGUUGUCAAAUCCACAGGUUGUUGUGAAGAUGAACGACGGUCUGUCUGGCUGUUCAGUUAUCCACCAAAAUCAGUUCAAGGAAGUAAAAUGUUGCUACCAAGUCAGUGCAUGGCAAGCCUGCCUAAAAAGUAGCUAACGUUCGGUUUGCCUGGCACAGUCAUAUUUUCCGCUGCUCAAACUGACAUCACAUGGAGGAGAGCAAUAAUUAACCGCGUUUCAAAUCACAAUCCUUUUUAGGUAGAAAUGCCCAUAUAUAGUAGAUGUAGGAAGCAGCGUGCAGUCAGAGCUGUAGCGCUGCCUGCUGGACGGUUUAAGCAUAUCUUUUUCGUCUCUUUCAACACAGUUUUUUUGUUGUUGUAAAUAACAAUACGUUUUUUAUACAUAGAUUGUUAUCUAUACACUAAUUAACUACCUGUAACGUAUAACCCAAUUACAUAUCCGUUAUACACUGUUUAUAAAGAGUACCUUAAUAUAAAAUCGUACUCAUUUUAAACUGGCCAAUAUAGGCAUACUGUGAUAUCAUUUAGACCAGUAGUAGAGAGUGCACUGUAUCCUAUCCUAUGACAGCAAAAAAAAAAACGAUCAUCACAUCAUCCCUUGAAGAGGUAGGCUAGAUAACCAGUUCUACGGAGUAAAUAAUUGUGUUUUGUGAAUCCAUUUGUGUUAUAUGACAAUGGAAAGAUUUGUGGAGGAAACUUUCUAGCCUACUAUGAGAUAAAAUAUGUAGGGCAGCCCACAUGUCAUAUGAGGAAUGUUGGUGAUGCUGAUCCUAUUGUUUCUUGUUACCGACCUGAGGUCACAUGACUAGAACAUAGGUUGUGUGAGUACAACUAUCACACUCUUGUAUAAGAUAGGAUCACUUUUGACAGGAUUAUAGACAAUUUGCUACACAGUAUGAGGAACUUGUUGCACUUUGUGUUUGUUUGAGUUGCUUGCUGUACAGCCUGACGAUGUGGAUCACUAUACCUAUUGUGAGAGUUGCUUGACUUACAGCCCAAGAAAUUGAGAGCAGAAGAAAGACACAGCAGAGUCCAGACGGGAUGUUAUUGAGAAGCUAGUCAGUGGUGCUGUGUACCAAGAUUUAGAUGCUAAAAUCCCCACUGAACACAUUUUAAUGUAACUAUGUUCAACUGUACCAACUCUGUUAAUUUAAUCUCCAAAAUUCUCUUAGAAUAAAGAUAUUUCUCAAUA